rnacentral:rRNA from 1 species
CCCUUAGAUGUUCUGGGCUGCACGCGCGCUACACUGAUGCAUUCAACGAGCCUAUCCUUGACCGACAGGUCCGGGUAAUCUUUGAAUCUGCAUCGUGACGGGGAUAGAUUAUUGCAAUUAUUAAUCUUCAACGAGGAAUGCCUAGUAGGCGCAAGUCAUCAGCUUGCGUCGAUUACGUCCCUGCCCUUUGUACACACCGCCCGUCGCUACUACCGAUUGAAUGGCUUAGUGAGCUUUCUGGACUGUUGCGCUUCGUUGGAAACUUCGUUGUGCAUACGGGAAGGAAAUCAAACUUGAUCAUUUAGAGGAAGUAAAAGUCGUAACA